ensembl:misc_RNA Metazoa_SRP Metazoan signal recognition particle RNA
GCUGGGUGUAGUAGCAGACACCUGUAAUCCCAGCUACUUGGGAGGCUGAGGCAGAAGAAUCGCUUGAACCUGGGAGGCAGAGGUUGCAGUGAGCAGAAAUCGUGCCACUGCACUCCAGCCCGGGUGACAGAGUGAGACUCUGUCUCAA